rnacentral:rRNA from 1 species
GCAUAUCAAUAAGCGGAGGAAAAGAAACUAACACAGUAUUCCUUAGUACGGCGAGUGACCGGGAAAAGCUCAAAUUUGUAAUCUGGCUGUCUUCGAUAGUCCGAGUUGUAAUCUAUAGACGUGUUUUCCGUGCUGGACCGUAUCUAAGUCCCUUGGAACAGGGUAUCAAAGAGGGUGACAAUCCCGUGCUUGAUACGACCACCAGUGCUCUGUGAUACACGCUCUACGAGUCGAGUUGUUUGGGAAUGCAGCUCAAAAUGGGUGGUAAAUUCCAUCUAAAGCUAAAUAUUGGCGAGAGACCGAUAGCGAACAAGUACCGUGAGGGAAAGAUGAAAAGCACUUUGGAAAGAGAGUUAAACAGUACGUGAAAUUGUUGAAAGGGAAACGAUUGAAGUCAGUCGUGUUCUUUGGAUUCAGCUAGUUCUUCUAGUCUACUUCCUUUGAACGGGUCAACAUCAGUUUUGUCCGGUGGAUAAAGAUAGUAGGAAUGUAGCUCCCUCGGGAGUGUUAUAGACUAUUAUUGCAUGCACUGGGUGAGACUGAGGACUGCAGCUCGCCUUUUGGCCGGCCUUCGGGUACGUUCGAGCUUAGGAUGUUGACAUAAUGGCUUUAAACGACCCGUCUUGAAACACGGACC